rnacentral:rRNA from 1 species
GACGCUCUCCCCAAGGACGAAGCCAUGCAUGCCCGCUCACCCGGGACGCGGCGGACGGCUCAGGACAACGGUUGCACCCCCCGCGGCGGUCCCUGCUAGCCGGACACCGCUGGCAACCCGGCGCCAAGACGUGGCCGCGCAAGGGCGGGCGCAGCCUCGCGGGCGAGCAGCGUGACGCAG